rnacentral:snRNA from 1 species
GUGCUCCCCUCGGCACCACAUAUACUAAAACUGAAGCAACACCGAGAAGAUUAGCAUGGCCGCCAUGCAUAGACACUGUGCAAAUUUGCUAUGCAUUCCAUUUUAAA